rnacentral:rRNA from 1 species
GACGAACGCUGGCGGCGUGCUUAACACAUGCAAGUCGAACGAAGUGGCGAACGGGUGAGUAAUACGUGGGUGAUCUGCCUUGCACUUCGGGCUAAGCUUGGGACACUGGGUCUAAUACCGGAUAGUGCAAGAUGAGCUCGCGGCGUAUCUGCUUGUUGGUGGGGUAAUGGCCUACCAAGGCGUCGACGGGUAGCCGGCCUGAGAGGGUGUACGGCGACAUUGGGACUGAGAUACGGCCCAGACUCCUACGGGAGGCAGAAGUGGGGAAUAUUGCACAAUGGGCGGAAGCCUGAGGCAGCGACGCCGCGUGGGGGAUGAAGGCCUUCGGGGUGUAAACUCCUUUCGACAGGGACGCGGUACCUGUAUAAGAAGCACCGGCUAACUACGUGCCAGCAGCCGCGGUAAUUC